GCCGGGCACAGUGGCUUGUGCCUGUAAUCCCAGCUACUCAGGAGGCUGAUGCAGGAGAAUUGCUUGAACCCAGGAGGUGGAGGUUGCAGUGAACUGAGAUCAUGCCACUGCACUCCAGCCUGGGUAACAGAGUGAGACUCUGUCUUAC
rnacentral:SRP_RNA from 1 species